GACGAACGCUGGCGGCGUGCUUAACACAUGCAAGUCGAACGGUAAGGCCCCAGCUUGCUGGGGUACACGAGUGGCGAACGGGUGAGUAACACGUGUGUGACCUGCCCCUCACUUCGUGAUAAGCCUUGGAAACUGGGUCUAAUACCGGAUACGACCUCACCGUGAGGGUGUGGUGGAAAGUUUUUCGGUGUGGGAUGGGCCGGCGGCCUAUCAGCUUGUUGGUUGGGUAAGUGCCUACGAAGGCGGCGACGGGUAGCCGGCCUGAGAGGGUGGACGGCCACAUUGGGACUGAGACACGGACCAGACUCCUACGGGAGGCAGCAGUGGGGAAUAUUGCACAAUGGGCGGAAGCCUGAUGCAGCGACGCCGCGUGGGGGAUGACGGCCUACGGGUUGUAAACUCAUUUCACCAUCGACGAAGGUUUUCUGACGGUAGAUGGAGAAGAAGCACCGGCUAACUACGUG
rnacentral:rRNA from 1 species